rnacentral:rRNA from 1 species
UCCGGUGGCCAUAGUGGAAGGGAAACACCCGGUCCCAUUCCGAACCCGGUCGUUAAGCCUUCCAACGCUGAUGGUACUGCACGAGGGGAUCGUGUGGGAGAGUAAGACGCUGCCGGAA